UAGGGAAUCUUCGGCAAUGGGGGGAACCCUGAUGCAGCGACGCCGCGUGAUUUAGAAGGCCUUCGGGUUGUAAAAAUCUUUUCUAUGGGAAGAAAAUGACAGUACCAUAGGAAUAAGGACCGGCUAAUUACGUGCCAGCAGCCGCGGUAAUACGUAAGGUCCGAGCGUUGUCCGGAAUCAUUGGGCGUAAAGGGUACGUAGGCGGGUAAGCAAGUUAGAAGUGAAAUCCUGUAGCUCAACUACAGUAAGCUUUUAAAACUGCUCAUCUUGAGAUAUGGGAGGGAAAGUGGAAUUCCUAGUGUAGCGGUGAAAUGCGCAGAUAUUAGGAGGAAUACCGGUGGCGAAGGCGACUUUCUGGCCAUAAUCUGACGCUGAGGUACGAAAGCGUGGGUAGCAAACAGG
rnacentral:rRNA from 1 species